GGCCAGACUCCUACGGGAGGCAGCAGUGGGGAAUAUUGCACAAUGGGGGAAACCCUGAUGCAGCAACGCCGCGUGAGUGAAGAAGUAUUUCGGUAUGUAAAGCUCUCUCAGCAGGGAAGAGAAUGACGGUACCUGACUAAGAAGCCCCGGCUAACUACGUGCCAGCAGCCGCGGUAAUACGUAGGGGGCAAGCGUUAUCCGGAUUUACUGGGUGUAAAGGGAGCGUAGACGGCUGGCCAAGUCUGAAGUGAAAGCCCGGGGCUUAACCCCGGAACGGCUUUGGAAACUGGCCGGCUGGAGUGCUGGAGAGGCAGGCGGAAUUCCUGGUGUAGCGGUGAAAUGCGUAGAUAUCAGGAGGAACACCGGUGGCGAAGGCGGCCUGCUGGACAGUAACUGACGCUGAGGCACGAAGGCCAGGGGAGCGAAAGGGAUUAGAUACCCGGGUAC
rnacentral:rRNA from 1 species